rnacentral:rRNA from 1 species
GUAGCCGGCCUGAGAGGGUGACCGGCCACACUGGGACUGAGACACGGCCCAGACUCCUACGGGAGGCAGCAGUGGGGAAUAUUGCACAAUGGGCGCAAGCCUGAUGCAGCGACGCCGCGUGAGGGAUGACGGCCUUCGGGUUGUAAACCUCUUUCAGUAGGGAAGAAGCGUAAGUGACGGUACCUGCAGAAGAAGCGCCGGCUAACUACGUGCCAGCAGCCGCGGUAAUACGUAGGGCGCAAGCGUUAUCCGGAAUUAUUGGGCGUAAAGAGCUCGUAGGCGGUUUGUCGCGUCUGCCGUGAAAGUCCGGGGCUCAACUCCGGAUCUGCGGUGGGUACGGGCAGACUAGAGUGAUGUAGGGGAGACUGGAAUUCCUGGUGUAGCGGUGAAAUGCGCAGAUAUCAGGAGGAACACCGAUGGCGAAGGCAGGUCUCUGGGCAUUAACUGACGCUGAGGAGCGAAAGCAUGGGGAGCGAACAGGAUUAGAUACCCUGGUAGUCCAUGCCGUAAACGUUGGGCACUAGGUGUGGGGGACAUUCCACGUUUUCCGCGCCGUAGCUAACGCAUUAAGUGCCCCGCCUGGGGGAGUACGGA